AUGAACGCUGGCGGCGUGCCUAAUCCAUGCAAGUCGAGCGAACAGACGCUGAGCUUGCUCCUCUGACGUUAGCGGCGGACGGGUGAGUAACACGUGGAUAACCUACCUAUAAGACUGGGAUAACUUCGGGAAACCGGAGCUAAUACCGGAUAAUAUAUUGAACCGCAUGGUUCAAUAGUGAAAGACGGUUUUGCUGUCACUUAUAGAUGGAUCCGCGCCGCAUUAGCUAGUUGGUAAGGUAACGGCUUACCAAGGCAACGAUGCGUAGCCGACCUGAGAGGGUGAUCGGCCACAUGGGAACUGAGACACGGUCAAGACGCCUAAGGGAGGCAGCAGUAGGGAAUCUUCCGCAAUGGGCGAAAGCUUGACGGAGCAACGCCGCGUGAGUGAUGAAGGUCUUCGGAUCGUAAAACUCUGUUAUUAGGGAAGAACAAAUGUGUAAGUAACUAUGCACGUCUUGACGGUACCUAAUCAGAAAGCCACGGCUAACUACGUG
rnacentral:rRNA from 1 species